AUUCUCUUAAUUUGAUUGUGUUUAUUUUUUUGGUUCUAGGAUUUUAUUUUGAUGGGUGAUCAUUGAUUUGUGUGCUUGAUUGAGGCUUUAGAUUGUCGAAAAUUUUUUCAUUUUAAGAUUGGUUUGAGUAAUUCCUGGGAAGGUUUAGUUUUGUUUUUGUAUUGGAAUAGGUUGAUCAUCAUGAAUGUAUUUUUGAGUUUCGUGAAUUGAAGUUUAUUAUGCUUUUAGGGUUUGGUUUUGAUAUGAUCCGUUUUAUGGAGCAUGGGAGGUAUUAUAUUUACUCUGUAAUAAAUUGAUUAAAGAAUGAAACAAUCUGAUAACGCUCUCUCAACUAUCAAUUUUUUCAGUAUAAAAUAAUUUUCUUAGCUUGAUUGAGUUUUUGAUUCUUGGAAAGUUUUGUGAAGGUUUAAUUUAGUGUUCCUGAGUUUGGUUUUGUUUUAUUUUGGUAUCGGUUGAUUAUCAUGAAUUGAAACUACUGGGUUAUUAUAAGUUUUUGGUUGAUGUUUUGAUCCUUUAAUGGUGAUUUCUUUGCUUGACAUGAUCCAUUUUAUGCUAGAUUGAAUUGCUUAGAUUCUCAAAAUUACAUUUAGUCGCUUGCUUUUUAUUCAUAAGAGUUAAUUAAUUGUGUUGAAUAACUUGAUCUGUUAAAAAAGUUAAGGUAUAUGGUUAGAUUUGGGCAUGUUUUUAUCCAAAGCUAUUGCUAAGGUUCUUGAGAAUCAGAUCCCAUUUGUGGUAAUGAACAAUCUGUAAAGUGGUUACAUUGGUUAAAAAAUAGGUUUAAUUUAUUCUUUGAGUGGUAAUUGGUUAAAUCUUCAGUGGACUUUGGCACUGUUUUAUGAUCGUAUUCAAGUAGUGUGUAAUGGACUAGAGUCUAUGUUCUUAUUAAUGUCCAGAAACCUGUACUAACUGGAGACGUGAAAGAACUGUUGCAUGCACUAAUCAUGGUUUCAUAAAUCUUAUUUUGGUUUAUAGAUGGUAAACAUAUGUCUGAGGUGGAUUUGAGUUUAAAACCAGGUGCACUCAUCUCAUAGCCUGCUUGGGACCUUUUUUUUUUUUCUGUGGCUUUUUAGGUAUGUGCCAUUGGGGUUUGAGUACCCGUUAAAUUGCCAUCCCAAGUAUUUAGUAGUUUAUCUGGUUUCUCAUUAUUUAAUCCAUAACCUUAUUAGUUCUUCUGUGAUUGUUGUUGUACAUAGAAUGGUGACAUGGUCUUUGUCUGCUUGCGUACAAACUAGCUGCAGGCCACAUUUAUUUCACUGCGGGCAGCAAGCAUGCUUAUGCAGAAUAAAUCUAUGAAAGCUUAUUUGGAAGUCUUUCUGCUAUUAUUUGUUGCUUAUUUAAGUGGCCGGAUGGUAUGUAACUUUUGCAAAACAUAUUCUAUUGGUCAUGAAACCUAAAAUGCUUCAAUAUUUUUUUGUGAUAGAUGCUCACUAUCCCGUAUUGGUCAUGAAUGUGCAUUCAGUAAUGAACCAGUAUGAUAUCGGAGUUCUCAUAUAACUUCGGAGGCCUAAUGAUGCUCAUUCAGUGGAGCUAACUGUGUAGUUUCAUUGCAUCAUUGCAGGAACUGAAGCUUGAGUGGCUAGCAAUUGCCAUUGCAACUUUAGCUAAGAGAUACCCCUAGUAACAAUUAUUUGUCUUAAAGAAUUUUUAUUUAUGUUAAGAUACAGAACUGUAAACUACAAUAUAGUUGUGGUGUUUUCCAUGAUUGCAGGUUUCAGUUGGUUGAUUUAUCUGUGUUUAGGUGCACACGCAAAAUGCAAUUGAAAGCUAAGGGGUUAACAGGGAUUUCUCCAGCGGAAGUGAGCCUUGCAGUGUGCAACCAAGCAAUCAGUCUGAGAAAGUUUACCAGAAAAAUAAUCUUUACAGUGUUAGGGCUGUGCUAAUCGAUUUUACAUUAUAAUCUCAGUUCUCAGGCUACAACGAUCAUCCUUUCACAUAAAGGAAACGACUAAGAUCUGUUCCAAAUGAUUGUGCAUCACAAGUUCAGGCACUCCAUUGUUACAGUUGCCAUUUUCUUGUCCAGCAAAGAGGCAAAAUCCCAACAAAUUUAAAAACGAACUUGUAACUCGGUGACAUCUUCCAAUCUUUUUGUUUAUUUGUUGCAACUCGACCUUCAAACCAUUGGGAUAUCAACUUCAAAACAA